rnacentral:rRNA from 1 species
AUACGGAGGGUGCAAGCGUUACUCUGAGUCACUGGGCGUAAAGCGUCCGUAGGCGGUCGGGUAAGUCGGGUGUGAAAGCCCCGGGCUCAACCUGGGAAGUGCACCCGAUACUGCUCGACUCGAGUGCGGGAGAGGAUGGCGGAAUUCCCGGUGUAGCGGUGAAAUGCGUAGAGAUCGGGAGGAACACCAGUGGCGAAGGCGGCCAUCUGGCCCGCAACUGACGCUGAGGGACGAAAGCGUGGGGAGCAAACAGGAUUAGAAACCCUAGUAGUCC